GGAGAGCUGGGCUUCGAGGCGUCAGUGUGAAGGGAAGGCUAAGGACGCAUCGGUGCUGGAGAGUUGAGAAUAUGCCUUCCCCUCCACUCCCAAUCCAGUCACCUUAUUUGAAAAAAAAUUAAAAAACACAUUUUAUUUAAAAACCUAACCCUGGAAGUUUGCUCGGGAAGGCAUUCACUUCCUCUUCCUCCAGUGGCCUGAAAAUCAUAUGCGUGGUUUUUCCUCUUUCCUGCUCUGUAGCUGACAUCAGGGGAGCAAACUGAACACAGGAAAAUGGAAAUCAAUAUUUGAAACUUUUAAAUGGAAGCUUUAUCGGGGUUCCACAUAUGGAAAACUGCAAAUAGCAGAAGUGUGUGACUUGAUAAAUUAAUCUGGAGUGACCACAUCCUCUAACUGCCUCCCAGGACAAGAAGGAGAAUGUGAACAAUGCUCCUGAAGACCCCUUUCCCUCAAAGAAUCACUGCAGUUGAAGAAAAAAUGCUCCAUGUCCCCUCUGCCGGUUGGUAUUUAUCAAAGGAUGACGGAGGAAGAGAGACAAAGUGCUGGAUGUGUGUGUUAAUCAAGAGUUGUCAGGACUCUGCCUCUAAAAGAAAGUGCUAAAAUGAUGCUUUUGACAAGACUUUUCUCAAAGUGGAUGCAGUCUAAGGGUUGGAAAACAAGUCCCAAUCAGGCUAGGUGUGACUUGUCGCCUGCUUUCGUAAAUAAAGUUUUAUUGGCUCACAGACA